UGGGGAAUAUUGCACAAUGGGCGAAAGCCUGAUGCAGCAACGCCGCGUGAGUGAUGAAGGCCUUCGGGUUGUAAAGCUCUGUCUUUUGGGACGAUAAUGACGGUACCAAAGGAGGAAGCCACGGCUAACUACGUGCCAGCAGCCGCGGUAAUACGUAGGUGGCAAAGCGUUGUCCGGAUUUACUGGGCGUAAAGGAUGCGUAGGCGGAUUUUUAAGUGAGAUGUGAAAACCCUAAGCUUAACUUGGGGACUGCAUUUCAUACUGGAAAUCUAGAGUGCGGGAGAGGAGAAUGGAAUUCCUAGUGUAGCGGUGAAAUGCGUAGAGAUUAGGAAGAACACCAGUGGCGAAGGCGAUUCUCUGGACCGUAACUGACGCUGAGGCAUGAAAGCGUGGGUAGCAAACAGGAUUAGAUACCCUGGUAGUCCACGCCGUAAACGAUGAGUACUAGGUGUAGGAGGUAUCGACCCCUUCUGUGCCGCAGUUAACACAAUAAGUACUCCGCCUGGGAAGUACGAUCGCAAGAUUAAAAACUUAAAGGAAUUGACGGGGUCAUAGCUGUUUCCU
rnacentral:rRNA from 1 species